AACAUCAUCGACACACUCACACACGCACACACGGGCACAUGGAAUGCGGAGGUGUUUGAGUAUUCUCUUCACUGUUUGCACUUCUUUCUCAUCUCAACGUGCUGUGCUUAGUUUUUAUUUUUAGUGGCUGCACUAGUAAAGAUACGAAUCUGUCGUCGGUCGCCUCCGUAUUAGCUUUUGUUUUACAACCAUGUCAAAGUUGGUUAAUUUGUUGUUUUCGCAAAGCGCUUGACAACAACAAUAAUGAUUGUUCGUGCAAUAGGAUAUUCAUCACAAUGCAGAUCCUUAACUAAGGAGAAGAAUUAUGGCCUCAACCUUUGAGGUCUUGAUUUAUUAAAGUGCCGAGCAAAACCUGACAUCGUGAAAAAUUGACAUUUAUAAGAACUGACAUAUAUGAAAAAAAUUUCGUUUGACAUCGCGGAUAAUAGAGGUAAUCACGGUUAACAGUGAUUCAACUUCAUCCCGGAUAAAAGAGUGUCCAGUUAAUGGGAGCCCGAAUAAUUGAGGUCCAACUUGCAGAUACUUCGCCUCGGCUCUCUUCAAUUCGCCCCAGCUGCAGUGCUGCCAGAAUCUUAU